AUUGAACGCUGGCGGCAGGCCUAACACAUGCCAGUCGAGCGGAUGAAGGGAGCUUGCUCCUGGAUUCAGCGGCGGACGGGUGAGUAAUGCCUAGGAAUCUGCCUGGUAGUGGGGGAUAACGUCCGGAAACGGGCGCUAAUACCGCAUACGUCCUGAGGGAGAAAGAGGGGGAGCUUCGGACCUCACGCUAUCAGAGGAGCCUAGGUCGGAGUAGCUAGUUGGUGGGGUAAAGGGCUACCAAGGCGACGAUCCGUAACUGGUCGGAGAGGAUGAUCAGUCACACUGGAAGUGAGACACGGUCCAGACUACUACGGGAGGCAGCAGUGGGGAAUAGUGGACAGUGGGCGAAAGCCUGGUCCAGCCAUGCCGCGUGUGUGGAGGAGGUCUUCGGAUUGUAGAGACCUUUAAGUUGGGAGGAAGGGCAGUAAGUUAAUACCUUGCUGUUUUGACGGUACCGACAGAAUAAGCACCGGCUAACUUCGUG
rnacentral:rRNA from 1 species